CAACACAUAGUCUCUUUUCUAGAGGUAACUGCUUUUGAAUAGUUUAAAUGAUUCUACUGAUAUUUAUCUGGGCUUCUCAGAUGCUGCAGUGGUGAAGAAUCUAUGGACACGACUUAGUGAUUAAACCACCACCACCACACUCAGAUCAUCGGGUUUUUUCCCUAACUGGUGCUGGCUAACUUGGGAGAUACAGGCAGGAAGACCAAAGGCAGCUUUGAGUAGUUUCAGAGAGCUGGAAGAGUGGAAAGCCAAGAUUCAUCGUACAGUCUCUUUUGUGACAGAAACAUGGUGUCAAAAGACUUCCAAAGAGACAUCACCAAGCGUGUGCUACAUGAUCAAACUCCUCAUAUUUAAGCUUACUCCCAGAAGAAAGAGAGAUUCCUCCACACAAAAUAAAAAAAGCAGAACACACUAAAGAUGGAACUCUGAUGGCAAAGACUGACUUCACUAAGCCCGGACUUUUUCUUGCUGCAGACAUGCCAGCGAUUUUGGAUCAGACUCAGAC
rnacentral:lncRNA from 1 species